AUAACGGUCCUAAGGUAGCGAAAUUCCUUGUCGGGUAAGUUCCGACCCGCACGAAAGGCGUAACGAUUUGGGCACUGUCUCAACGAGAGACUCGGUGAAAUCAUAGUACCUGUGAAGAUGCAGGUUACCCGCGACAGGACGGAAAGACCCCGUGGAGCUUUACUGUAGCCUGAUAUUGAAAUUCGGCACAGCUUGUACAGGAUAGGUAGGAGCCUUUGAAACGUGAGCGCUAGCUUACGUGGAGGCGCUGGUGGGAUACUACCCUAGCUGUGUUGGCUUUCUAACCCGCACCACUUAUCGUGGUGGGAGACAGUGUCAGGCGGGCAGUUUGACUGGGGCGGUCGCCUCCUAAAAGGUAACGGAGGCGCUCAAAGGUUCCCUCAGAAUGGUUGGAAAUCAUUCAUAGAGUGUAAAGGCAUAAGGGAGCUUGACUGCGAGACCUACAAGUCGAGCAGGGUCGAAAGACGGACUUAGUGAUCCGGUGGUUCCGCAUGGAAGGGCCAUCGCUCAACGGAUAAAAGCUACCCCGGGGAUAACAGGCUUAUCUCCCCCAAGAGUUCACAUCGACGGGGAGGUUUGGCACCUCGAUGUCGGCUCAUCGCAUCCUGGGGCUGUAGUCGGUCCCAAGGGUUGGGCUGUUCGCCCAUUAAAGCGGUACGCGAGCUGGGUUCAGAACGUCGUGAGACAGUUCGGUCCCUAUCCGUCGUGGGCGUAGGAAAUUUGAGAGGAGCUGUCCUUAGUACGAGAGGACCGGGAUGGACAUACCUCUGGUGUACCAGUUGUCGUGCCAACGGCAUAGCUGGGUAGCUAUGUGUGGACGGGAUAAGUGCUGAAAGCAUCUAAGCAUGAAGCCCCCCUCAAGAUGAGAUUUCCCAACUUCGGUUAUAAGAUCCCUCAAAGAUGAUGAGGUUAAUAGGUUCGAGGUGGAAGCAUGGUGACAUGUGGAGCUGACGAAUACUAAUCGAUCGAAGACUUAAUCAAAA
rnacentral:rRNA from 1 species